rnacentral:rRNA from 1 species
GAUGAACGCUGGCGGCGUGCCUAAUACAUGCAAGUCGAGCGAACAGACGAGGAGCUUGCUCCUCUGACGUUAGCGGCGGACGGGUGAGUAACACGUGGAUAACCUACCUAUAAGACUGGGAUAACUUCGGGAAACCGGAGCUAAUACCGGAUAAUAUAUUGAACCGCAUGGUUCAAUAGUGAAAGACGGUUUUGCUGUCACUUAUAGAUGGAUCCGCGCCGCAUUAGCUAGUUGGUAAGGUAACGGCUUACCAAGGCAACGAUGCGUAGCCGACCUGAGAGGGUGAUCGGCCACACUAGAACUGAGACACGGUACAGACUCCUACGGGAGGCAGCAGUAGGGAAUCUUCCGCAAUGGGCGAAAGCCUGACGGAGCAACGCCGCGUGAGUGAUGAAGGUCUUCGGAUCGUAAAACUCUGUUAUUAGGGAAGAACAAAUGUGUAAGUAACUAUGCACGUCUUGACGGUACCUAAUCAGAAAGCCACGGCUAACUACGUG